UGUGCACGGUGAAUGACUCUGAGCUCCUUGGUUACUGGCACAGUAUAAACCAGGGGUGAGAGCAAACUGCUCACACAUAUCAAGGGGAAGUGGGCUGGGAGGAAGGGAGAGAAAGAAACCUGGAAUGCUUGGCCCAGGGUCAGAGGAAAAAGAAUUUCAGAGCUAGGUGGCAAUUUUAAGAGCUCAGGAAGGCCUGAGGAAUGACCCUCGCAUCAAGAGCAAGCUCCAGCCACAAGCACUGGAGCUCAGGACGUGCCCGGACUUUCCCCCACGUGCCCAGCUGUGACCACAUGUACUGAAUAGCGUCUCUGGGGAGAGACACACAGGUGCAGCUAUUUGGUUCAGCAGCUGGGACCAGGCAGACCAAGGCAGUCCCAUUCAGUAAUAUUGAAAAAGUCAACAGUUCAAAAACAUCAUUAUCUGCUAUGACUUUCCUCACAAGUGCUGCAGUACUGAGCUCCUUGCACAGCCACUGUAAACACUGAGCAAGAACAUCAAUGCUCUUCAGAUUAUCAGCCUGAGAGCAGUCAGGCUUCUUGUGCACAGAACACACCACAAAGAUUCCACAGCCAUCGGGAGCUAGUUUCCAGGUAAACAUAUGAGUGACGGCAGAUAAACCUGUAUUCCAUUAAAAUGGCAGCAGUGAAAACCUUUAGAAGGAGAUAAUUCAAGGAAAACUCUGUUGUACAUUACUGAUUCUGCACAGUACUUCAC